GUAUACGUCCAUACCACCCUGAAUGCGCCCUAUCUCGUCUGAUCUCAGAAGCUUAAGCAGAGUCGGGCCUGGUUAGUACUUGGAUGGGAGACCGCCUGGGAACCUGGGUGCUGUAGGGU
rnacentral:rRNA from 1 species